rnacentral:rRNA from 1 species
GAUGAACGCUGGCGGCGUGCCUAAUACAUGCAAGUCGAGCGAACAGACGAGGAGCUUGCUCCUCUGACGUUAGCGGCGGACGGGUGAGUAACACGUGGAUAACCUACCUAUAAGACUGGGAUAACUUCGGGAAACCGGAGCUAAUACCGGAUAAUAUAUUGAACCGCAUGGUUCAAUAGUGAAAGACGGUUUUGCUGUCACUUAUAGCUGGAUCCGCGCCGCAUUAGCUAGUUGGUAAGGUAACGGCUUACCAAGGCAACGAGGCGUAGCCGACCUGAGAGGGUGAUCGGCCACACUGGAACUUAGACACGGUCCAGACUCCUACGGGAGGCAGCAGUAGGGAAUCUUCCGCAAUGGGCGAAAGCUUGACGGAGCAACGCCGCGUGAGUGAUGAAGGUCUUCGGAUCGUAAAACUCUGUUAUUAGGGAAGAACAAAUGUGUAAGUAACUAUGCACGUCUUGACGGUACCUAAUCAGAAAGCCACGGCUAACUACGUG